rnacentral:rRNA from 1 species
UCGAGGAUCAUUCGCAAUGAGCGAAAGCUUGACGAUGCGACGCUGUGUGAACGAUGAAGGCCUUCGGGUUGUAAAGUUCUUUCGCUUGGGAGCAAGAGAAAUUAGUGAAUAACUAAUUGAUUUGAGAGUACCAGGUAAAGAAGCACCGGCUAACUCCGUGCCAGCAGCUGCGGUAAUACGGAGGGUGCAAGCAUUAAUCGGAUUUAUUGGGCGUAAAGGGCGCGUAGGCGGACUAUCAAGUCAGAUGUGAAAUACCAAAGCUCAACUUUGGUGCUGCAUUUGAAACUGAUAGACUUGAGGGUUGACGGAGAAAAUGGAAUUCCACGUGUAGCGGUGAAAUGCGUAGAUAUGUGGAAGAACACCUGUGGCGAAAGCGAUUUUCUAGUUGAUACCUGACGCUGAGGCGCGAGAGCAAGGGGAGCAAACA